AGAGUUUGAUCCUGGCUCAGGAUGAACGCUAGCGACAGGCCUAACACAUGCAAGUCGAGGGGCAUCGGGGCGAGGAGCAAUCCUUGCCGCCGGCGACCGGCGCACGGGUGAGUAACGCGUAUGCGACCUGCCCGUUGCAGGGGGAUAAUCGGGAGAAAUCCCGUCUAAUACCGCGUAACGCCGCGGGGCUGCAUGGCCCUGCGGCCAAAGGGAGCGAUUCCGGCAACGGAUGGGCAUGCGUGACAUUAGCUAGUUGGCGGGGCAACGGCCCACCAAGGCGACGAUGUCUAGGGGUUCUGAGAGGAAGGUCCCCCACACUGGUACUGAGACACGGACCAGACUCCUACGGGAGGCAGCAGUGAGGAAUAUUGGUCAAUGGGCGCGAGCCUGAACCAGCCAAGUCGCGUGAGGGAUGACGGCCCUACGGGUUGUAAACCUCUUUUGUCGGGGAGCAAAUUCCGCCACGUGUGGCGGAGUCGAGAGUACCCGAAGAAAAAGCAUCGGCUAACUCCGUGCCAGCAGCCGCGGUAAUACGGAGGAUGCGAGCGUUAUCCGGAUUUAUUGGGUUUAAAGGGUGCGUAGGCGGACUGUCAAGUCAGCGGUAAAAUACGGGGGCUCAACCUCCGCCCGCCGUUGAAACUGACGGUCUUGAGUGGGCGAGAAGUAUGCGGAAUGCGUGGUGUAGCGGUGAAAUGCAUAGAUAUCACGCAGAACUCCGAUUGCGAAGGCAGCAUACCGGCGCCCAACUGACGCUGAAGCACGAAAGCGUGGGUAUCGAACAGGAUUAGAUACCCUGGUAGUCCACGCAGUAAACGAUGAAUACUAGCUGUCCGGGGCGAAUGAGCCCUGGGUGGCACAGCGAAAGCGUUAAGUAUUCCACCUGGGGAGUACGCCGGCAACGGUGAAACUCAAAGGAAUUGACGGGGGCCCGCACAAGCGGAGGAACAUGUGGUUUAAUUCGAUGAUACGCGAGGAACCUUACCCGGGCUCAAACGACACAGGAACGUACCUGAAAGGGUUCGGCUCUACGGAGCCUGUGUCGAGGUGCUGCAUGGUUGUCGUCAGCUCGUGCCGUGAGGUGUCGGCUUAAGUGCCAUAACGAGCGCAACCCCCAUCGACAGUUGCUAACAGGUCAGGCUGAGGACUCUGUCGAGACUGCCGGCGCAAGCUGCGAGGAAGGCGGGGAUGACGUCAAAUCAGCACGGCCCUUACGUCCGGGGCGACACACGUGUUACAAUGGCAGGUACAGCGGGAAGCCACCUGGCGACAGGGAGCGGAACCCGAAAGCCUGUCUCAGUUCGGAUUGGAGUCUGCAACCCGACUCCAUGAAGCUGGAUUCGCUAGUAAUCGCGCAUCAGCCACGGCGCGGUGAAUACGUUCCCGGGCCUUGCACACACCGCCCGUCA
rnacentral:rRNA from 1 species